AGAUUAAUGUUAGCAGUUAAUAGGUUGUAAAGUUUAAAACAAUAGAAAUACAAAACAUUAUUAAAUUUAGUAUAGGUGAUUGAAAUUUAAUAUUUCUGCAUGAAAAUAGUACUGUGAAGGAAAUUAGAAAACUGAGAAUUAGAAGUAAUUAAAAUUUAUACCUUUUGCAUCAUGGCUUAACUAGAUUAGAUCCUAGAUAGGAAGUCUCGAAACCUAAUGAGCUAUUUUUAUUCUUUUUUAUAGAUUGUGAUGAGUUAGUUGUAGCAAAAACUUCUCAAGAAAUAAAAAUAGAUAUGAAAUUUUAUUCGUAUUAGAUGAUAGCUAGUUCUUUUCUAAAGGCAUAUUAGUGCCCUAAGUCAUAAGUUUGACAACAUAAAUAGAUAUUUGUGACUGUAUGUGCUGGCUUAGUCAGAUUUUCGAGGAUAAGCUCGAAAGUGAUUUGAAAUUGCAUUUAAUUUUCUUUGAAAUAUAAGCUUAGUAAUGGCUAUUGAUAUAGGAUUUUGUUAUAAUUCAUUUAUCAAUUAUUAAUAUGAUUUAUUUGCUUAAUAAACAGAGAAGAAAUUUUAGUGACUUGAUUAUAAAAUGAUUUCAUGUUAAGAUGAGUAUUAAACUAUAUAUUAAAAAACUAAGAAAUUAAAACUUAGGACUAUGUAAAGUGUUUUAAAAUAAAAUCAUGAAAAGGAACUCGGCAAGGCCGUAUUCUGCCUGUUUAUCAAAAACAUGGCUUCGUGUUCAUAUUAAAAUACGAAGUCGGACCUGCCCAGUGAGUUUUAAACGGCCGCGGUACUCUGACCGUGCAAAGGUAGCAUAAUCAUUUGCCUUAUAAUUGAAGGCUGGAAUGAAUGGUUUGACAAGAAUACACCUGUCUCUUUUAGAUUAUUUAGAAUUUUAUUUCUGGAUGAAAAAGUCUAGAUAGAAUUAAAAGACAAGAAGACCCUAUCGAGCUUUAGAAAAGUUAAUAGAUUUAAUAUAAAUUAAUAUAAGUAAAAGAAAAACUAUUAAAUACUUUGAUUGGGGCAAUCGAGGAGUAAAUAAAGCCUCCUUUAAAUUGUAAGUCUUAUUCGUGUUGAUCCAAGGAAUUUUGAUCAAAAGAAUUAGUUACCGUAGGGAUAACAGCAUUAUCUUUUUUAAGAGCCCAUAUCGAAAAAAAGGUUUGUGACCUCGAUGUUGGACCAGAAUAUCCUAAAGAUGCAGAAGUCUUUAAGGGUUGGUCUGUUCGACCAUUAAAAUUCUACGUGAUCUGAGUUCAGACCGGCGUGAGCCAGGUCAGUUUCUAUCUUUAUAUUUUUUGGUUGUGUUUAGUACGAAAGGACCAAUGUAACAUAUAAAAUAUUUUAAUUAGAUUAAAUAUAAUUCAACUUUAAA
rnacentral:rRNA from 1 species